CAGGGCUUUUCCCUGACAGUAAUCGAGCCCACGCCACUACCGAGUCUCGUCCCGACUCUCCACAGCACGAUUCGACAACAGCAUGUGUGCUACGUCAGCACGUGAUGUGCGUUUGUGUUUGGCGCGCAACUGCGAUAGCGAGGAGGCACCGCGCGGUAACAAAAUUCACCCUCUUCAUCUUCUUCCAUUUUCGGCAGCGAAAGCGCAGGCUUCUAUUAUCAACAGCUGAUAUGGGCAGUCUUCGAGAGGAGAAGGUGAAAAAAUUUGAGGAAUUUGUCGAUCGCAGACUGAAGCCAGACCUUGUCCAUGCUAUUGCCGAGAGGGACAAGGUCUUUGAACAACAGAAAGUGUUCUCAGAUUUGAAAAGGAACAUUGAGAAUUUGGAGAGGAAUGGGGUGACCUCUCUGCGUACAUUGGUGAAUCUUGGUUCUGAAGUGUAUAUGCAUGCUGAUGUGCCAGAUACGCGCCAUAUAUUUCUUGAUAUUGGACUGGGUUUUCAUGUGGAGCUUACUUGGACUGAAGCUUUGGAGUUCAUAUCAGUAAAGGAAGCAAGAUUAUCCAGAUGCCUGGUGGAUAGAUUCAACCUCAUCCAGACCCAUUGCAAAGUCAAGGGGGUAUUUUAUUGACCUAAAAGAGCUAAAAUUAGGUGAUCCUGAGGUAUACAUGGAAAAUAAUGCACACAACGAUAUUGCAGGCAUCAGAACUGUGAGAAAUCUAGUUCCAGGCUAGAUGAAUCUGCUCCAAACAAUAUAUUAUAUGCUCUGAUAAUUGCCAUGACUUGGUGAAAAAGGUUAUGCAGUUUGCUUUAGGCAGGUAGAGGAGUAUACACAUCUAAUUGCAAGCAUUAAAGCUCAAAUCAAGCUGGUGUGUGAAGGUAUUCGGGAGCUACUUGAAAUUCCUGCCUAGUGAUACCACAUAAUCUUCAAUUUAGCUUAUAAGAUUCUUU